rnacentral:rRNA from 1 species
AUUGAACGCUGGCGGCAGGCCUAACACAUGCAAGUCGAGCGGUAGAGAGGUGCUUGCAUCUCUUGAGAGCGGCGGACGGGUGAGUAAUGCCUAGGAAUCUGCCUAGUGGUGGGGGAUAACGUUCGGAAACGGACGCUAAUACCGCAUACGUCCUACGGGAGAAAGCGGGGGAGUCUUCGGACCUCGCGCCAUUAGAUGAGCCUAGGUCGGAUUAGCUAGUUGGUGAGGUAAUGGCUCACCAAGGCGACGAUCCGUAACUGGUCUGAGAGGAUGAUCAGUCACACUGGAACUGAGACACGGUCCAGACUCCUACGGGAGGCAGCAGUGGGGAAUUUUGGACAAUGGGGGCAACCCUGAUCCAGCAAUGCCGCGUGAGUGAAGAAGGCCUCGGUUGUAAGUACGU